AUCUACUCUGCAUUUCCAAACUUUCCCCGCGAGCCGUCACGCACGGAUAAAAAAUCCCCGCUGCUGACGUCCUGAAACGCGGACUUUCAUUCGAGGAGAAAAGUCGGACCUCUGUAGGGGAUGCCUUAGCUCCCUACGGAUCGCAUCGCACCUUCCUCCCUUUCCCUUCCCAGCAGCGCAGCAGCACGCCGGCUCCCUCCCCAGCAGCACACCAUCGCCGGGAUCCUCAUUCUACAUAUCAUCAAGGAAGAUGGAGGGCAGCAACUUCCUGUCUUGUGAGAAGCUCGACCGGAUGGCAAAUUGGGUGGGGUCAAGCGUUGCGUCGGCCUUCUUUGCCUCCCUAGAGCGGUGCUCCUGCAUCAACUUGAGCACCACUGAUGCUGAGGAUGAGGAGGAGGCCAAUGACCGCCCACUGAUGCUCACCAAGCCAGUCGUCCAUGACCUCCCAGAGAACCUGCUGGAAGAGAAGCCAUCCCACGUUUGUGUCAAUGUUGGAUCUGCAUGAGAGGCCUUCUCGCCCUCUGCGCUGUCCAAGAUUAUGGUGUGUAUCUGUCAAUCAGCCGUUAGGCCUUAAGGUCUCCACCUGUCAUGUGCUCAAAAGCUCUCUGUAAAUCAGUUUUACUGUGUUCUUUCCCGUUCUUUCCUUCUGUAAUUUGUUUGAUACGCGACUGUCGUGGCCCUGAAAGUGUAUGACAACAUUUGUGCAAAGUGGUUAAUGAUUGGAAUCUUCGAUGCAUAUAUAUAUUUAUAUAUAUAAUUGGAUGAGUUGUUUUGCA